rnacentral:rRNA from 1 species
UCAAAGAUUAAGCCAUGCAUGUCUAAGUAUAAGCAAUUAUACCGUGAAACUGCGAAUGGCUCAUUAAAUCAGUUAUCGUUUAUUUGAUAAUACCUUACUACUUGGAUAACCGUGGUAAUUCUAGAGCUAAUACAUGCUGAAAAUCCCGACUUCGGAAGGGAUGUGUUUAUUAGAUAAAAAACCAAUGCCCUUCGGGGCUUUUUGGUGAUUCAUGAUAACUUUACGGAUCGCAUAGCCUUGCGCUGGCGACGGUUCAUUCAAAUUUCUGCCCUAUCAACUUUCGAUGGUAAGGUAUUGGCUUACCAUGGUUUCAACGGGUAACGGGGAAUUAGGGUUCGAUUCCGGAGAGGGAGCCUGAGAAACGGCUACCACAUCCAAGGAAGGCAGCAGGCGCGCAAAUUACCCAAUCCCGACACGGGGAGGUAGUGGACAAUAAAUACUGAUACAGGGCUCUUUUGGGUCUUGUAAUUGGAAUGAGUACAAUUUAAACCUCUUAACGAGGAACAAUUGGAGGGCAAGUCUGGUGCCAGCAGCCGCGGUAAUUCAAGGGGCGAAUUCGU